CGUCGAAGGUGGGGCUGAUGACUGGGGUGAAGUCGUAACAAGGUAUCCGUACCGGAAGGUGCGGAUGGAUCACCUCCUAACAGGGAGACAACACAAUGAUUUUGAUGCCUGAGUGCUUUUAUUCUUAGGCCGAAAUCCUGUCACCUUAGGUCGAUCGGUACCUCAGCUUUGAAGUUAAGGAUCAGCAGCAAUGUUGAUUGCUUGAUGGAGAUUUUCAGUUCCUAAACUUUGUCUAGGUCACACCCCAAAAGGGAUGAGACUCCUGGGCCAUUAGCUCAGGUGGUUAGAGCGCACCCCUGAUAAGGGUGAGGUCCCUGGUUCAAGUCCAGGAUGGCCCAUUCGGUGUUGGGGGUUUAGCUCAGUUGGUAGAGCGCCUGCUUUGCAAGCAGGAUGUCAGGAGUUCGAGUCUCCUAACCUCCACUGACCGAACUUGAUUCCCAUCUCCAAUUUUUUGGAGUUGAGCUCGAUUGGAGUGUGAUUUAGAUUUGUCCGCUGGAUGACCCCAGCUUCCUGUCAUUCCAAACUUUAGGUUGAUGCCUUGAAUUUGGUUGAUAAGAUGCUGGGCUCGGAUCAAAUGAUCAAGCAAUUGAUGAUUUGAUUUGAAGUUCUAGCAGAACCUUGACAACUGCAUAGGUGAGUCUGGAAAAAACAAAGCAUCUUACAGAUGCAUUGUUUUGAAUCUGAUCUUCUGAAAGGGAGAUUGGAUCUAGAACAAUGAAAAUUCUUUUGAGCAAGAGCCGAGACUCUUGAACGUUCUUUGAUUGGUGUCGAGCCAAUCAGAGUUUGAUCUUGUUUUUAGCAAUAAAAACCUGAGAAUCUGCUUUCAACGGCGGUAAGCGUUCAGGAGGUUAAUUGGUCAAGCUACAAAGGGCUCACGGCG
rnacentral:misc_RNA from 1 species